rfam:Caldibacillus debilis strain B4135 NODE_48, whole genome shotgun sequence.
CUCUGGUUUUGCAGGAAACCAGGGCAGAAGGAG